rnacentral:rRNA from 1 species
CCUACGGGCGGCUGCAGUGGGGAAUAUUGGACAAUGGGGGCAACCCUGAUCCAGCCAUGCCGCGUGUGUGAAGAAGGCCCUCGGGUUGUAAAGCACUUUCAGUGAGGAAGAACGCCUGGUGGUUAAUACCCAUCAGGAAAGACAUCACUCACAGAAGAAGCACCGGCUAACUCCGUGCCAGCAGCCGCGGUAAUACGGAGGGUGCGAGCGUUAAUCGGAAUUACUGGGCGUAAAGCGCGCGUAGGUGGGUUGAUAAGCCGGUUGUGAAAGCCCCGGGCUCAACCUGGGAACGGCAUCCGGAACUGUCAAGCUAGAGUGCGGGAGAGGAAGGUAGAAUUCCCGGUGUAGCGGUGAAAUGCGUAGAGAUCGGGAGGAAUACCAGUGGCGAAGGCGGCCUUCUGGACUGACACUGACGCUGAGGUGCGAAAGCGUGGGUAGCAAACAGGAUUAGAUACCCGUGUAGUC